GGUCUUGUGGUUGAAGGCCUUGCCAUCGGCGGUGUUGAAAUCGCCGCCCGGGCCGGUGCUGCCGGUCACCGGCAGCACCGAGACCU
rnacentral:tRNA from 1 species